AUUGAACGCUGGCGGCAGGCCUAACACAUGCAAGUCGAGCGAGCGGCGGGCGGGUGAGUACUGUAUGGGGACUGCCCGAUAGAGGGGGAUAACUACUGGAAACGGUGGUUAAUACCGCAUCCUGUCGGACAAACCAUAUGGGAUUAGCUAGUUGGUUAGGUAAUGGCCUACAUAGGCGACGAUCCCUAGCUGGUCUGAGAGGAUGAUCAGCCACACUGGUACUGAGACACGGCCCAGACUCCUACGGAGGCAGCAGUGGGGAAUAUUGCACAAUGGGCGAAAGCCUGAUGCAGCCAUGCCGCGUGUAUGAAGAAGGCCCUAGGGUUGUAAAGUACUUUCAGUCGGGAGGCGUUACCGACAGAAGAAGCACCGGCUAACUCCGUGCCAGCCGCCGCGGUAAUUC
rnacentral:rRNA from 1 species